AACUCAGCAGGCAUCUGCCGAGUUGGAAAGCUCCGACGGUCAAGGAUGGGCUCGCGGCCUAUCAGCUCGUUGGUGAGGUAACGGCUCACCAAGGCGACGACGGGGUAGCCGGCCUGAGAGGGCGACCGGCCACACUGGGACUGAGAUACGGCCCAGACUCCUACGGGAGGCAGCAGUGGGGAAUAUUGCGCAAUGGGCGAAAGCCUGACGCAGCAACGCCGCGUGCGGGAUGACGGCCUUCGGGUUGUAAACCGCUUUCAGCAGGGACGAAAACUGACGGUACCUGCAGAAGAAGCACCGGCUAACUACGUGCCAGCAGCCGCGGUGAUACGUAGGGUGCGAGCGUUGUCCGGAAUUAUUGGGCGUAAAGAGCUCGUAGGCGGUCUGUCACGUCGGAAGUGAAAACUCGGGGCUCAACCCCGAGCCUGCUUUCGAUACGGGCAGACUUGAGGAAUGUAGGGGAGAACGGAAUUCCUGGUGGAGCGGUGGAAUGCGCAGAUAUCAGGAGGAACACCAGUG
rnacentral:rRNA from 1 species